AUAAAUAUGAAAAUAUCAAGAAAAUCAGCAAAUUAGUAGAGAUGAGAAAGCAGUCACUAAUGAACCUAAUUAGAAGUUGUAAAUAUAUUUUAUUGUAAUUAUAAUAGAAGCUAAUGAUAUAAUAUUGAUUUAAAUUAAUCAAUUAAAGUGGAUUCAUGAACUUUGGAUAUAUAAAAUCUAGUGAGCAAUACUAAGUAAUGAAAAAGAGAAGCUAUGGAGUAUGAAAUAAUGGUUGGUUACGUAACAUUACCUCAAGAACAGGAAACAGUAACUGAAACUAUGUUCUUCCACAUUUAAUCUUAAUAAGUUCAGCAGUUUGAAUGUUAAUGAGAUAUUAUUAUAAACAAACUGCAUUUGUAGAUUUUGGAAAGAAUUAUAUCUUUACAAUAACUAUUAUUAUUUACAAUUGUUGUGUUAAGGAAACAAUCACUAUUAUUUUAAUCGCCCAAGAUGUAUUCAUAGAUUCAUUCAUCUAACGUUAGGUUUUAUGAAUUGAACAAUUUUUAUUUAGGUAGUAAUGCAUUGAAUUUGGUGCACCUGUGUGUGUUCAGUAGUAAUGUCUGUAUUGUUUAAUAAGUUGUUUAUUUUUCUAUGUAGACUGCAUUAUGUUAAGGAAGAUAUUUGGUGCCUUAUUUUAAUAAAAAAUAACCAUAA